rnacentral:rRNA from 1 species
GAUGAACGCUAGCGGCAGGCCUAAUACAUGCAAGUCGAACGGUGUCUUCGGACAUAGUGGCGCACGGGUGCGUAACGCGUAUGCAACCUACCUUACAUUGGGGGAUAGCCUUUCGAAAGGGAGACUAAUACCGCAUAAGACAGUAGCUGGGCAUCCAGCAGCUGUUAAAGAUUUAUCGAUGUAAGCUGGGCAUGCGUCCAAUUAGCUAGUUGGUGAGGUAACGGCUCACCAAGGCAAUGAUUGGUAGGGGAACUGAGAGGUCAAUCCCCCACACUGGCACUGAGAUACGGGCCAGACUCCUACGGGAGGCAGCAGUAGGGAAUAUUGGGCAAUGGACGCAAGUCUGACCCAGCCAUGCCGCGUGCAGGAUGAAGGCGUUAUGCGUUGUAAACUGCUUUUAUACAGGAAGAAACGACUCUUGCGAGAGGCAUUGACGGUACUGCAUGAAUAAGCACCGGCUAACUCCGUGCCAGCAGCCGCGGUAACAC